rnacentral:rRNA from 1 species
AGAGACAGCAGCAGCCGCGGUAAUACGUAGGGUGCGAGCGUUAAUCGGAAUUACUGGGCGUAAAGCGUGCGCAGGCGGUUGUGUAAGACAGGUGUGAAAUCCCCGGGCUUAACCUGGGAACUGCGCUUGUGACUGCGCAGCUAGAGUAUGGCAGAGGGGGGUGGAAUUCCACGUGUAGCAGUGAAAUGCGUAGAGAUGUGGAGGAACACCGAUGGCGAAGGCAGCCCCCUGGGCCAAUACUGACGCUCAUGCACGAAAGCGUGGGGAGCAAACAGGAUUAGAUACCCCCGUAGUCCCUGUCUCUUAUAC